rnacentral:rRNA from 1 species
AGAGUUUGAUCCUGGCUCAGAACGAACGCUGGCGGCGCGCCUAACACAUGCAAGUCGAGCGCGAAAGGGCUUCGGCCUGAGUAAAGCGGCGAACGGGUGCGUAACACGUGGGUAAUCUGCCUUCAGGCCUGGGAUAACCUUCCGAAAGGAGGGCUAAUACCAGAUGAGCUCACGAGGACUUCGGUCCUUGAGGGAAAAGG